rnacentral:rRNA from 1 species
UCCUGCCGGACCUGACUGCUAUCGGAUUGAUACUAAGCCAUGCGAGUCUCUGCAGUAAUGCAAGGCAUACGGCUCAGUAACACGUAGUCAACCUACCCUAUGGACGAGAAUAAUCUCGGGAAACUGAGCAUAAUUCUUGAUAGAUCAUAAUGCCUGGAAUGGUUUAUGGUUAAAAUGAUUCGUCGCCAUAGGAUGGGACUGCGGCCUAUCAGCUUGUUGGUGAGGUAAUGGCCCACCAAGGCGAUUACAGGUACGGGCUCUGAGAGGAGAAGCCCGGAGAUGGGUACUGAGACACGGACCCAGGCCCUAUGGGGCGCAGCAGGCGAGAAAACUUUGCAAUGUGCGAAAGCACGACAAGGUUAAUCCGAGUGAUUUCUGCUAAAGAAAUCUUUUGCCAGUCGUAAAACCGCUGGUGAAUAAGGGGUGGGCAAGUUCUGGUGUCAGCCGCCGCGGUAAAACCAGCACCUCAAGUGGUCAGGAUGAUUAUUGGGCCUAAAGCAUCCGUAGCCGGCUUUGUAAGUUUUCGGUUAAAUCCAUGUGCUCAACGCAUGGGCUGCCGAAAAUACUGCAUAGCUAGGGAGUGGGAGAGGUAGACGGUACUCAGUAGGUAGGGGUAAAAUCCUUUGAUCUAUUGAUGACCACCUGUGGCGAAGGCGGUCUACCAGAACACGUUCGACGGUGAGGGAUGAAAGCUGGGGGAGCAAACCGGAUUAGAUACCCGGGUAGUCCCAGCUGUAAACGAUGCAGACUAGAUGAUGCAUUGGCAUAAUAGCCAUUGCAGUGUCUCAGGGAAGCCGUUAGGUCUGCCGCCUGGGAAGUACGUACGCAAGUAUGAAACUUAAAGGAUUGGCGGGGGAGCACCACAAGGGUGAAGCUGCGGUUCAUUGGAGUCACCGCCGG